AUACGGAGGGAGCAAGCGUUAUUCGGAAUCACUGGGCGUAAAGGACGCGUAGGCGGGUUUGUAAGUCAGGUGUGAAAUCCUACAGCUCAACUGUAGAACUGCACUUGAAACUACCAACCUAGAGUAUGGGAGGGGGAGAUGGAACUAGUGGUGUAGGGGUAAAAUCCGUAGAUAUCACUAGGAAUACCGAAAGCGAAGGCGAUCUCCUGGAACAUAACUGACGCUAAGGCGUGAAAGCGUGGGGAGCAAACAGAAUUAGAUACCCCGGUAGUCC
rnacentral:rRNA from 1 species